GCCAGCAGCUUCUGGAGUUAAGAGGCAGCAAACUGAUAAUGCAGCUUCUCCUGCAGAGAGUGAUUGUCUUGACAAACAAACACAAAAGGAUUCAGAUAAGAGUCCCACAUCUCAGUUUCAACUAAAGCAUUUGCUCCAACCAAAAGAUUCACAGUCAGUAAGCCAAUCCCACUCAGUUGCAGAUCGAUUCAUAAGUCCCCUGGGAUCCCAUAAAA